rnacentral:rRNA from 1 species
AGUUUGAUCCUGGCUCAGGACGAACGCUGGCGGCGUGCUUAACACAUGCAAGUCGAACGGAAAGGCCCUUCGGGGUACUCGAGUGGCGAACGGGUGAGUAACACGUGGGUGAUCUGCCCUGCACUUUUGGGAUAAGCCUGGGAAACUGGGUCUAAUACCGAAUAUGACCAUGCACUUCCUGGUGUGUGGUGGAAAGCUUUUGCGGUGUGGGAUGGGCCCGCGGCCUAUCAGCUUGUUGGUGGGGUAAUGGCCUACCAAGGCGACGACGGGUAGCCGGCCUGAGAGGGUGACCGGCCACACUGGGACUGAGAUACGGCCCAGACUCCUACGGGAGGCAGCAGUGGGGAAUAUUGCACAAUGGGCGCAAGCCUGAUGCAGCGACGCCGCGUGAGGGAUGACGGCCUUCGGGUUGUAAACCUCUUUCAGCACAGACGAAGCGCAAGUGACGGUAUGUGCAGAAGAAGGACCGGCCAACUACGUGCCAGCAGCCGCGGUAAUACGUAGGGUCCGAGCGUUGUCCGGAAUUACUGGGCGUAAAGAGCUCGUAGGUGGUUUGUCGCGUUGUUCGUGAAAACUCACAGCUUAACUGUGGGCGUGCGGGCGAUACGGGCAGACUUGAGUACUGCAGGGGAGACUGGAAUUCCUGGUGUAGCGGUGGAAUGCGCAGAUAUCAGGAGGAACACCGGUGGCGAAGGCGGGUCUCUGGGCAGUAACUGACGCUGAGGAGCGAAAGCGUGGGGAGCGAACAGGAUUAGAUACCCUGGUAGUCCACGCCGUAAACGGUGGGUACUAGGUGUGGGUUUCCUUCCUUGGGAUCCGUGCCGUAGCUAACGCAUUAAGUACCCCGCCUGGGGAGUACGGCCGCAAGGCUAAAACUCAAAGAAAUUGACGGGGGCCCGCACAAGCGGCGGAGCAUGUGGAUUAAUUCGAUGCAACGCGAAGAACCUUACCUGGGUUUGACAUGCACAAGG